rnacentral:rRNA from 1 species
CGUGCUAUGAGAUGAGCCUGCGUCGGAUUAGCUAGUUGGUAGGGUAAUGGCCUACCAAGGCGACGAUCCGUAGCUGGUCUGAGAGGACGAUCAGCCACACUGGGACUGAGACACGGCCCAGACUCCUACGGGAGGCAGCAGUGGGGAAUAUUGGACAAUGGGGGAAACCCUGAUCCAGCAAUGCCGCGUGUGUGAAGAAGGCCUUCGGGUUGUAAAGCACUUUCAGUGGGGAAGAAAUUCUCAAGGCUAAUACCCUUUUGAGCGUUGACGUUACCCACAGAAGAAGCACUGGCUAACUCUGUGCCAGCAGCCGCGGUAAUACAGAGAGUGCAAGCGUUAAUCGGAAUCACUGGGCGUAAAGCGCGCGUAGGUGGAUAUUUAAGUCGGAUGUGAAAGCCCUAGGCUUAACCUGGGAAUUACAUCCGAUACUAGGUAUCUCGAGUAUGAUAGAGGGAAGUGGAAUUUCCGGUGUAGCGGUGAAAUGCGUAGAUAUCGGAAAGAACAUCAGUGGCGAAGGCGGCUUCCUGGAGCAAUACUGACACUGAGGCGCGAAAGCGUGGGGAGCAAACAGGAUUAGAGACCCUGGUAGUCCACGCCGUCAACGAUGAGAACUAGCUGUUGGAAAGUUUAAUUUCUAGUAGCAAAGCUAACGCGUUAAGUUCUCCGCCUGGGGAGUACGGCCGCAAGGUUAAAACUCAAAGAAAUUGACGGGGGCCCGCACAAGCGGUGGAGCAUGUGGUUUAAUUCGAUGCAACGCGAAAAACCUUACCUACCCUUGACAUCCUCGGAACUUGUCAGAAAUGACUUGGUGCCUUUGGGAACCGAGUGACAGGUGCUGCAUGGCUGUCGUCAGCUCGUGUCGUGAGAUGUUGGGUUAAGUCCCGUAACGAGCGCAACCCUCGUCCUUAGUUGCCAGCGGUUCGGCCGGGAACUCUAAGGAGACUGCCGGUGAUAAACCGGAGGAAGGUGAGGAUGAUGUCAAGUCAUCAUGGCCCUUACGGGUAGGGCUACACACGUGCUACAAUGGGCAGUACAAAGGGUUGCCAAACCGUGAGGUAAAGCUAAUCCCAAAAAGCUGCUCGUAGUCCGGAUUGGAGUCUGCAACUCGACUCCAUGAAGUUGGAAUCGCUAGUAAUCGCGAAUCAGAAUGUCGCGGUGAAUACGUUCUCGGGCCUUGUAC